GGCCACAGCUAUUUCACCCUACGGCUCAAGACCGGGUUACUCACUGAAACUAAGCAGGGCUGAACCUGGUCAGUAUCUGGAUGGAAGACCACAUGGGAAAACUAGAUUGCUGUUGGAA
rnacentral:rRNA from 1 species